CACAAUGCACUUUUUGCAUUUUUGACGCCUUCAGCCUUUCCGAAUCACACCUAACCGACAAUCAGCCGAUUCUAAUCGAAGUUCAACUCUCGCAUUUCGAGAAUUCACUUCCUUACAUCCUCCCCAUCUUUAAAAGAGUUUCGUCCUCGAAACGAAGUUAAACCUCAACUUAACCCAUACCUUACUUACUCCUCAAAAA
rnacentral:lncRNA from 1 species